GAAUAGAUAGCUCAGCUGGUAGAGCAUGAGACUCUUAAUCACGGGGUCAUUGGUUCGAGCCCCAUUUUGGCCA